rnacentral:rRNA from 1 species
UACGUAGGUGGCGAGCGUUGUCCGGAUUUACUGGGCGUAAAGAGCGCGCAGGCGGCUGGUCAAGUCCGAUGUGAAAGCUCCCGGCUUAACUGGGAAAUUGCAUCGGAAACUGAUCGGCUGGAAGGUGGGAGAGGGUAGCGGAAUUCCCGGUGUAGCGGUGAAAUGCGUAGAUAUCGGGAGGAACAUCAGUGGCGAAGGCGGCUGCCUGGCCCAAUACUGACACUCAGGUGCGACAGCGUGGGGAGCAAACAGG